AGCUUUAUUUCAUUGCCAAAUGCUAAGUCACAAUGAGCAACUUACCUCCUUUCAUACGUAGUGUAUAACAGAACCAUUGGACAGAAUGUUUGGAAGCAAGUUGUUAACCAACAUUCUAUAGAACAGAGUGUAUUCAGUGAUGACUCACAGAUAAAUUACUUCACCCUCACGGACCUCAAACUGGGUGUGCCAUUUGCUGUAGAUUGACUCAACGCUUAACCCUUCCAGUCAGACACCAGGCACCAAGUUAAUCGAUUUCAUUGCCAGACUGAGAAUUCUCCAAGCCUUCUGAAUUUAAUUUAAACUGAUUGCAUACUGAAUGAGUUUGAAGGACUGUAAAGCAAAAGUGCAUCUGCUCCAGAACUGAUCUACCAAAUGUUCAUUGGGUUGUGCUGGUGCGAAGAGCAUUCUGCAUCUAGCGGCCCAGCCCCGGAGGACGUGGUGAUCUACUGUGCGCACACGGGUAUAAACGAGAGCCACCGUGCAGCAACAUAAGUGCUACCCAAGGAGGGUUCAAGAUGCUAUCAACCUCUCACAGCAAAUGGAAAAUCAGGGUCGAGCAGAUAUCUGAAUAGCUGAAGUCCAUCUCUGUCUCCCAAGAGUUAAAUCGACAAACAAAAAAUGGAAUUGAGUCCCACUGAAAGAAUUGAAGAUCUCUGCUGAAACCAGUCACUGUGGACAGGGGGGAUUCCACCUCCUCACUGACCAUUCUGAGACACGUGUCCAAACUCAGAGCUAGGGUUCAAGGCAGCUCAGCAAACCACAUGGGCCAAUGAUGGAACAAGGCAAGUGCUGGUUCUGUUACUGGAAGAACGGGGAAAGGAUGUUGGGGAACUGAAAUCAAGAAAUGUCCAUGAUCACAUACAGAAACUCUACUCUUUUACAUCCUCUCCAACACCAAUUUCGUUACUGAUGUCACAAAUAACAUCUUUUUAUAUUUUGUAUCCAUUAACAUGGGGGUAUUGUUUGUAUUUUGGGCUUUUAUCCUUUGAAUCCUACACCAAAAUUAAAAGUGAUUUAUGCACCACCA